GUGAUGAAUUACCUUAGCAUUUGUUUGUCUGAAAGGAUCUUAUUUCUUGGUUAGAAUUUCCUUUCUUUAAGAGUGCUAAAAAUAAGCCCCCAGUCUCUUCUGGCUGGGCUUGAUUCUGGUAUAAGGUAAGUUCAGUUAAUUGCCUUUGGUUCUGGAAGAUUUGGGGUGGCUAAUGGUCAGCUCAAUACUCCUGGAUUGUGCCCUGUAACUUUGGGGGCUGGUACUAGGACCCCAGCUUUGUUCUUUGUCCCCUUGAGGGUAGGAAUCUGCUGUCCUGGAGGGACUGAGGUCUUCUCAGUCUGUAGGUUUUAACACUCUGACAGGGAGGGCUGGCCAAAGCACAUCACUGGGGUGGUGGCAGCAGGAUCAGUGCUUGCUUGCAUGUGCCAGCUGUGGUGUUGUGGUGAAGUACACCUGCAUUGGCUGGGGUGGGGUGCUGGGGGGAGCCUUUCUUAGUUUUCACAGGUUCCCUAUACUGGCAAAAACUUGUGGUCUUAGUAUUUGGCUGAGAUCCAGUAGGUGGCACUUAAGAGUGUUAACCAGCAGUCCACCAGGCUCCUUCAGGCAGGUUCUGUGGUUAGUAGACAGGAGGUAUCCUUGCCAGGGCAGCCCUAUGGGGAGAGCCACACCCUGCCCCUCCACUGGUUUGCAAACCUGGGCAUCACACCUCUCUCAGUGA
rnacentral:lncRNA from 1 species